AUGGGUUCUGCUGAAGAUUCCUUCAAUAAACUUCCACAUUUCUCUUUAAUAUCUUCCAGUAUGACACACAAUAUUGUACACACUGCAUCAGGAGGAAUUUUUUUAAUGCUUUUCUUCUGCCUUCAAACUGAAUCUUGGGAAAACUUUGAGGGACAUACAUUAAAGUUUGAGGGACUGACUGCUAAGAAUGUAUUGAAAAAGUGUGCAAUUCUGAACAGUGAGUAAAGCUUUAAAUAGAAAUAACCCUACUGGUGAUACAUACUAAGAAUUUUAACUAUUCCAUAAUACAAGACUUCUGCUUAAUGGGGCAUAAGGCAGUAAAGACUGGAAAACAAUGCCAGUUAAAUAGACUCGAGUUGUGUUAGCUGAAAACCCCUGAAAAAAGGGGAGUAGAUGUAAGAAUUGUGCAUGCUAACGUUUCCUACUGUGUAUAUAAACACAUGUAUUCCUCUUAGAACUAAUAUUAGCCCAUUAAGUCUACUAGCUAGUAAAUAGUAAAACCAAAGUUCAGGAAUAGCUAUGUCUUCAUCACAAGUGUACUUAUACACAAUCACUAUAUUACAUUGGCAUGUUAUAUAAAUAGUCAGUAACCUUAAAAUAUUAUUAUAUUAAGAAAAAGUUGGUAUACAUAGACUCUACUCAUAACCAAUGCCUGUAAAAUUACAAAUAACAUUUACUUUAGUUAAUGAUUCUUCUAACAUAUAAUGACAAUUCAUGUUAUUGGCAAGAAAGCUGGCCUUUGGGAAUGAGUCAGCCAAGAGUUAUUAUUCCGUAAUCUAUUAUUCUGUAAUCUUGCUCAAGAAUGCUGAGUCUUCUCAGAUUCAAAUCUCCCAUUUCAUUGCUGUGUCAUGAGAGUCGACUAUUAUAAUGUAUACAAAAAUGUUUAACCCAGUGUCUAGUAAGCAUACAGUAUAAGAAAAAUAUUGUUGUGAAAGCUUUAGGUGAUUACUAUAAUAGAAUCAAAGUGACUACACAAUAGGAAUUUGACUAUAAACUGCUAGGAUUCUAUUUUAUCGCCCUCUGUGUCACCGAUAAUAUAUUGCACAUGCAAAAUAACCAUAUUUUGACUCAUUGAUUAUAAAACAG
rnacentral:lncRNA from 1 species